rnacentral:rRNA from 1 species
GGAGUCAGCCUGCCCAGUGACCAAGUUAAACGGCCGCGGUACCCUAACCGUGCGAAGGUAGCGCAAUCACUUGUUCUUUAAAUGAGGACUAGUAUGAAUGGCAUCACGAGGGUUACACUGUCUCCCACCUCUAAUCAGUGAAACUGAUCUCCCCGUGAAGAAGCGGGGAUAAAACUAUAAGACGAGAAGACCCCAUGGAGCUUCAAACCCGGCAUCAACCAUUAACAUUAAUACCACAUUAAAUAAAUGGACCUGACUGCUGGUUUUAGGUUGGGGUGACCGCGGAGCAUAACAAAACCUCCAUGAUGAACGACCUCCUCUCUAAUCCGAGACCCACCACUCAAAGAAUCAAAAAAUUGACAUUUAUUGACCCAAACUAUUUUGAUCAACGAACCAAGUUACCCUGGGGAUAACAGCGCAAUCCAUUUCAAGAGCCCCUAUCGACAAAUGGGUUUACGACCUCGAUGUUGGAUCAGGGUAUCCUAGUGGUGCAGCCGCUACUAAAGGUUCGUUUGUUCAACGAUUAAAACCCUACGUGAUCUGA